CUGAAGGCCGCGUCCGGGUCAAUUGCGGACUGCAACACCCGAUCUCCCUCAACGUACCACCGAAAAUGGUGGUCGAUGAGGGGGAGCGCGUGACCGUCAG
rfam:Halovivax ruber XH-70, complete genome.